UAUUAAUUCCCGAUUUAGAAAGAGCUAUAAAAUUAUAAAUUUUAUUGUAAAAUAACUAUUUAAUAUAAUUUUAUAGUAAUGAGAUGUUAUUCGAUUUUUAAUAUAUCUGGUUUUUUAAGAAAUGAAUUUAAUUCAUUUAUUUUAAUAUAAAUUAUUUAUAUAAGUAAGUAUUUAUUUAAGAUAUUAAAUAUUUUUAGGGAUAAGCUUGAAAAUAGAGUAUUAAUUUUUUUAAUUAAAAUAUUUAAUAGGAUUAGAAGUUUCUAUUUAUAAAUAGUGUUGUUAUACCUAAGUAUUACCUUAAAAAAAUUUAUAUUAAUUUUAAUAUUUUUAUUAGAAUGUAAGAUUUAAUUGAUUGAUUUUAGUAAUAAUAAUUAAAUUAGUAUUAAAAAAAUUUAUGUAGAUAUAAUUAAGUUAGUUGAUAGGUAUUUUAAAGGAAUUCGGCAAAUAAGGUUCUUGCCUGUUUAUUAAAAACAUGGUUUUUUGAUUAUAAUUUAAGAUUUGGCCUGCUCAAUGAAAAUUUAAAUAGCUGCAGUAUUUUGACUGUACAAAGGUAGCAUAAUAAUUAGUUUUUUAAUUGAGAACUGGAAUGAAGGGUCGGACAAGGAAUAAGCUGUCUAUUAAAUAUUAAAUAAGAAUUUUAUUUUUAAGUUAAAAAGCUUAAAUAUUUUUAAAAGACGAGAAGACCCUAUAGAACUUAAUAUUUUUAUAUUUAUUAUUUUAUUAGAAUUUAUAGGAUUUUAAUUUUAAGGUAUUUUAUUGGGGCGAUAGAAAAAUUAUAUAAACUUUUUUAAUAUGAAAACAUUAAUUAAUGAAUAAAUGAUCCAAUUAUUUUGAUUAUUAGAUUAAGUUACCUUAGGGAUAACAGCGUAAUUUUUUUUGAGAGUUCUUAUUUAAAUUAAAGGUUACGACCUCGAUGUUGGAUUAAAAUAAACCUUAGGUGUAGGUGCUUAAUGGUUAGGUCUGUUCGA
rnacentral:rRNA from 1 species